AAUCCAAAAGCAUCUUCAACACUAUAAUUUAAGUUCUUUUAUUACCGUUCAAAGAAGUGUCGUCUUGACGUUUUGUAAUAACAAUGAAACUACGAAAUAAACGAUUGUUGCUAUGUAAAGCAUAACAACCGGUAAAUCUUCAUGCAAAAUAAUUAUUUUUUUAAAUAAAAAAGUCCUGUUUUACGCAACAUUUUAUUCAUUAGGAUAAAUGUAAACCCUUUUUGAAUUGUACGAUUGUGUAAUUGUGUUUCGGUUGGUGACAAAUUUAAAAGUAUGUUAGCAAAUAGUAGCCAGUACUGCAACCUAGCGAGAAGUUGUACUGUUGUUAGCAAGAAGUCUACUUCAGUGGUGCCGCUUAGAAAUAAACUUCAGAAUUGCCAACCGAAACAAUAGUUUAGGAUCACUGUGGAUUAGUUAGGGACGGGUCGAGUGAGACUGUGAUUUUUUAGAAGACAUUAAAAACUGAUAAGUAAAUUCGCUUAGAUUUUGUGAAAGCUCUUAAAAAUGUGCUGCAGGAAAUCAAGGGGUGUGUGAGAGAUGAUUUUAUUCUCAUAAUUCACACAAGGGAAUCAAACGAUCUGAAAAAACAAUUAAACUGUCGAAUUCAAGAAAGAAGUCUGAAGAGAAGGCUGAUUAUCAGUACAAGUUACGGGGAAAAUAAAUGUAACGGAACAAGAUCCAGUAACCGCUUUUACAAAAUAUUUAGUUAAGAAUACAUACUUACGGACAUCUUGGACAUAUCCGACAGAUACGAAAACGUUUUCUUUUAAAGUGAAUAUUUCAACAAAUUGUGUAACUAAUGUAAUUUUUUUUCACUUUUGGAACAGAUAUAUUGAGGUUUUUGUGGUUGUAUAAUCAUUGAGGAUAAGGUUUAGAAAUGAAGCAUUUUAUUCAACAGACCAUCAUUCAUUCGUGUUUACUACAAACUCAACGUUUUGUCAAUUUUAAGCCCUCACUGCACCAUAAUUUUCAUUAAGAAGUGAUAAUCAGAGUGUCCAAAAACGAGUGGCUUCAUUUGGUUCCUCAGUACGAAUAAUAAUCUCCCUUGUAGGUGUUUGGAACGAGAAAACAA